rnacentral:rRNA from 1 species
GAGUUUGAUCCUGGCUCAGAUUGAACGCUAGCGGCAGGCUUAAUACAUGCAAGUCGAGGGGCAGCACGGUUAGCAAUAACUGGUGGCGACCGGCGCACGGGUGCGUAACACGUAUACAAUCUACCGUUAAACAGGGGGAUAGCCUUUCGAAAGAGAGAUUAAUACCCCGUAAUAAAUUGAACGGCAUCGUUUGAUUUGAAAGCUCCGGCGGUUUGAGAUGAGUAUGCGUCUGAUUAGCUAGUUGGUGAGGUAACGGCUCACCAAGGCGACGAUCAGUAGGGGACCCUGAGAGGACUAACCCCCCACACUGGUACUGAGACACGGACCAGACUCCUACGGGAGGCAGCAGUAAGGAAUAUUGGUCAAUGGAGGCAACUCUGAACCAGCCAUGCCGCGUGCAGGAUGACGGCCCUAUGGGUUGUAAACUGCUUUUAUACAAGAGAAAACCCUGGUACGUGUACCAAGUUGAUAGUAUUGUAAGAAUAAGCAUCGGCUAACUUCGUG